GGGCGGCAUGGCGGUGUGCGCUCGCCUCUGCGGCGUGGGCCCGUCGCGCGGAUGCCGGCGCCGCCAGCAGCGCCGGGGCCCGGCCGAGACGGCGGCGGCCGACAGCGAGCCGGACACAGACCCGGAGGAGGAGCGCAUCGAGGCUAGCGCUGCGGUGCUGGCCGGGGUGGGGGGCGGCUUGUGCGCGGGCCCCUCGCCGCCGCCCCCGCGCUGCUCGCUGCUGGAGCUGCCGCCCGAGCUGCUGGUGGAGAUCUUCGCGUCGCUGCCGGGCACCGACCUACCCAGCUUGGCCCAGGUCUGCACGAAGUUCCGGCGCAUCCUCCACACCGACACCAUCUGGAGGAGGCGUUGCCGCGAGGGUUAGAGGAUGCAUUGGGCUCUGUGAAAAUUCAUGAAACUAAGUCACCAGCCUUCAGCAAUCUGAGCAAAGAUAAACUGCCUCAGGAACAGUAUUGAUGGCUUGCAGAGGACUGGCUUAUGACUUCAGGCGGCAUAAACAACAAGCACAAAUGGAUACGUUUUCCAGUGUCCACCCAUCUAGCCAUUGGCGCAGGGAAUCA
rnacentral:sRNA from 1 species